UUUAGCGAGAUUAAAGUUUGAUUUUACGAAACCCAUUUUCACGAAACUCUUUCAACUCUGCCAAAGUUUGAUUUCUUCGCUCGCUCAGUCGCACAGAAGUUUGUAAAACCCGUCGCCCGCCAGCGUUUCCUUCACUCUCAUUUCGGUAAGGGUUUAUGUGGAUUUCUUCGCUCACUCGCUCACUCUCGUUUCGGUAAGCAGAAGUUUGCAGAAGAUUGCAAAACCCGUCACCGUUUCCUUCACUCUCAUUUCGGGUUCUUGUUGAGGGUAAGUCAUGGUGGCAAUUUUGUUCACUGCAAUUGGGGAAGUUGAGGGACAAAUUGAGUCGUGUUACGGUGAGAAAUUACCGGGAUCGGGAGAAAAAGAGAAACACAACGCUUCUGGAUUGAGUGGGUCUUUUCCUUUGCUUCUCUAAUAGUCAUAAGAUGUAGUGGUGACUUAUUUUUUCGAAUGAUGAGCUUUGUCCUCUUAACAUUUGUGGUCCAUCUUAAGGAGGAUAGUCGAAAAGUUACUAUAGUAGAAAAGGAUAACAAUUUUGACGCG